rnacentral:rRNA from 1 species
UGGGGAAUAUUGGACAAUGGGCGCAAGCCUGAUCCAGCCAUGCCGCGUGUGUGAAGAAGGCCUUCGGGUUGUAAAGCACUUUUGUUGGGGAAGAAACAGCGCCGGCCAAUACCCGGCGUGAAUGACGGUACCCAAAGAAUAAGCACCGGCUAACUUCGUGCCAGCAGCCGCGGUAAUACGAAGGGUGCAAGCGUUACUCGGAAUUACUGGGCGUAAAGCGUGCGUAGGCGGUUUGUUAAGUCUGAUGUGAAAGCCCCGGGCUCAACCUGGGAAUGGCAUUGGAUACUGGCAGGCUAGAAUGUGGUAGAGGGUGGUGGAAUUCCCGGUGUAGCGGUGAAAUGCGUAGAGAUCGGGAGGAACAUCCGUGGCGAAGGCGGCCACCUGGACCAACAUUGACGCUGAGGCACGAAAGCGUGGGGAGCAAACAGG